rnacentral:rRNA from 1 species
GACGAACGCUGGCGGCGUGCCUAAUACAUGCAAGUCGAACGCUUCUUUCCUCCCGAGUGCUUGCACUCAAUUGGAAAGAGGAGUGGCGGACGGGUGAGUAACACGUGGGUAACCUACCCAUCAGAGGGGGAUAACACUUGGAAACAGGUGCUAAUACCGCAUAACAGUUUAUGCCGCAUGGCAUAAGAGUGAAAGGCGCUUUCGGGUGUCGCUGAUGGAUGGACCCGCGGUGCAUUAGCUAGUUGGUGAGGUAACGGCUCACCAAGGCCACGAUGCAUAGCCGACCUGAGAGGGUGAUCGGCCACACUGGGACUAAGACACGGCCCAGACUCCUACGGGAGGCAGCAGUAGGGAAUCUUCGGCAAUGGACGAAAGUCUGACCGAGCAACGCCGCGUGAGUGAAGAAGGUUUUCGGAUCGUAAAACUCUGUUGUUAGAGAAGAACAAGGACGUUAGUAACUGAACGUCCCCUGACGGUAUCUAACCAGAAAGCCACGGCUAACUACGUG